UUUCGCAAUGCCCGAAAGGGUGACGAAGCGACGCCGCGUGCGGGAAGAAGGCCUUCGGGUUGUAAACCGCUGUCGGGAGUUAAGAAAUGCAAGGAUGUUAAUAACAUCUUUGUUUGACUAAGGCUCCGGAGGAAGCCACGGCUAACUCUGUGCCAGCAGCCGCGGUAAUACAGAGGCGGCAAGCGUUGUUCGGAAUUAUUGGGCGUAAAGAGCACGUAGGCGGCUGUGUAAGUCGGUUGUGAAAGCCUUCCGCUUAACGGAAGAACGGCAUCCGAUACUGCAUAGCUCGAGUGCGGGAGGGGAGAGUGGAACUUCUGGUGGAGCGGUGAAAUGCGUAGAUAUCAGAAGGAACACCGGCGGCGAAGGCGACUCUCUGGCCCGUAACUGACGCUGAGUGUGCGAAAGCUAGGGGAGCAAAUGGGAUUAGAUACCCCGGUAGUCCUAGCCGUAAACGAUGGGCACUAAGUAGAGGGGUUUU
rnacentral:rRNA from 1 species